GACGAACGCUGGCGGCGUGCUUAACACAUGCAAGUCGGGCGGAAAGGCCCUUCGGGGUACUCGAGCGGCGAACGGGUGAGUAACACGUGAGUAACCUGCCCUUGGCUCUGGGAUAAGCCCGGGAAACUGGGUCUAAUACCGGAUAUGACCAUCAGAUGCAUGUCUUGGUGGUGGAAAGAUUUUUUCGGCUGGGGAUGGGCUCGCGGUCUAUCAGCUUGUUGGUGGGGUGAUGGCCACUAAGGCGACGACGGGUAGCCGGCCUGAGAGGGUGACCGGCCACACUGGGACUGAGACACGGCCCAGACUCCUACGGGAGGCAGCAGUGGGGAAUAUUGGACAAUGGGCGCAAGCCUGAUCCAGCAAUGCCGCGUGGGUGAAGAAGGUCUUCGGAUUGUAAAGCCCUUUCGAC
rnacentral:rRNA from 1 species